rnacentral:rRNA from 1 species
GAUGAACGCUGGCGGCGUGCCUAAUACAUGCAAGUCGAGCGAACAGACGAGGAGCUUGCUCCUCUGACGUUAGCGGCGGACGGGUGAGUAACACGUGGAUAACCUACCUAUAAGACUGGGAUAACUUCGGGAAACCGGAGCUAAUACCGGAUAAUAUAUUGAACCGCAUGGUUCAAUAGUGAAAGACGGUUUUGCUGUCACUUAUAGAUGGAUCCGCGCCGCAUUAGCUAGUUGGUAAGGUAACGGCUUACCAAGGCAACGAUGCGUAGCCGACCUGAGAGGGUGAUCGGCCACCCUGGAAGUGAGAAACGGCCCAGACUCCUACGGGAGGAAACAGUCGGGAAUCCUCCGGAAGGGGCGAAAGCCGAAUGGAGCAACGCGGCGUGAGUGAUGAAGGUCUUCGGAUCGUAAAACUCUGUUAUUAGGGAAGAAGAAAUGUGUAAGUAACUAUGCACGUCUUGACGGUACCUAAACAGAAAGCCACGGCUAACUACGUG